AUAAUGUUUGACAUGAUCUCCUUUCAUAUCAUCCCAGUCACGGAUAGACAGGGAAUAGGCACCUUUGGUAGUUUCACUUUCCCGGAUCAGGAAGGUACCUCUUGGGUUUCCAAAUGACAACAGCUGCCUCUCAGCAUCUUUUCGGCCAAGUUUGCCGAAGUACCACUCCUCUGCUUGGAUGGAAUCGACUGGAGCCACAUAAUUACUGGGAAUGUAACCAGUUUCGCCUGUUGUCAGGGACCGAGCCUCCCACCAGUCUCCUUCCGAGCUGUUAAGAAUUUGAAAUUUUUCUCCUUUAUGAAAACUUAAGUCAUCUUCUGUUCUUGCUUCAUAGUCAUAAAGCGCCACAAAAAGAG
rnacentral:lncRNA from 1 species